rnacentral:lncRNA from 1 species
AAGUUACUCUCUAAUUGAGGUAAAUAAGGAGUAGUUGCUAAUCCAAUUUGGAAAGUAAUAGAAUAUGUUUCCAUUAAUUUUCUUGUAGUUUUAGCAAAUUCUAUGUCACUAGUAUAAACAAAUACUUUAUUGUAAGCAUACAAACAGGCAUUUAAAUCCAUGUUAAAAUAAUUAAUAAGGCAAAACUAAAUCAAAUUUUUUGACAAGUCCAAAUUUUUCAAUAAGGCAAGCUUUUAGGACUAUAAUGAUAAUACUAAUAUGAUACUGAGGCUCUGAUACCAAAAGGGAAGGGAACGGAAUAACAGUGGGCUAAAGGUGAAAAUAUCAGUAGCGGUAAGUCAAGCAGGUAAGGAUCCCAAGCCAAUUUAAGCACCACAACACCGCAUAAAGGCCACCUACUGGCGCGGACAAAGUGCACGGCUAGAUCCACUUUAGCUUUCAUUAGUGGCUGUUAUUAAACCUUUAUACUAAUGUUACACCGAACUCCCGGUGUUCACAUGAUCAUUAUCAUUUUAGUGUUAUUACUACUUUCCUAAAACCUUGCCAUAGAAAAUUUAGCUUGUCAUAGAAUUGCGU